GGGCCGCACGCGCGCUACACUGACGGAGCCAACGAGUAUAUCCUUUGCCGAGAGGUAUGGGUAAUCUUGUGAAACUCCGUCGUGCUGGGGAUAGAGCAUUGCAAUUAUUGCUCUUCAACGAGGAAUUCCUAGUAAGCGUAAGUCAUCAGCUUGCGUUGAUUACGUCCC
rnacentral:rRNA from 1 species